UGGAAAAAGUUAAAAUUUUAUGAAAUCAAUUUAUUCACUUUUUAUUUUUCUUUCCAGAAACAAUUACGUGGAAUUCCCAUCACUAUGUGCAAUCGUGGAGAUAAUAACAAAUGCUGUUACAACAAUUUCUUCAACGGAACAGCGUGUUUAGAAUGUCCUCCUGGUUACUAUGGAGUUAACUGUAGUGCACUUUGUAGCCAAGGUUCUUACGGACAUCUGUGCUCACAGACAUGCAAGAAGUGCC